UACGGGGGGGGCAAGCGUUGUUCGGAAUUACUGGGCGUAAAGGGCUCGUAGGUGGCCAACUAAGUCAUGCGUGAAAUCCCUCGGCUUAAUCGGGGAACUGCGUCUGAUACUGGAUGGCUUGAGUUUGGGAGAGGGAUGCGGAAUUCCAGGUGUAGCGGUGAAAUGCGUAGAUAUCUGGAGGAACACCGGUGGCGAAGGCGGCAUCCUGGACCAAUACUGACACUGAGGAGCGAAAGCCAGGGGAGCAAACGGG
rnacentral:rRNA from 1 species